UGGCUCGCGCGCCUGUCGCCACUCACGCAUUGCGAGCCGCGAUCAGAAAACGCGCUUAGUUAAGUUGUGAUGAUACUUAGACUGACGUGACUAUGCGGCCCGUGGCUCGUAGCAGACGCGUCCAGCCGUACAUCGUUUUUCUUUAUUUUUUCUAUUAACUUGAUAUAUGCUAGUAUAAUUAUAAAAUAGACCAUGCAACCCAUAACAUGUUAGCAGAAUUAUGAACAGGACACUAAAGACGCAGCAGCGUUAAUUUUCCCUAAGCACUUAUGUUUCUUUAAACUCGUUUGCGCUUGUGAACCAGAUGGAGACAUUUACUUUUCCGUUACUGAUAGUUUGUCGAGAGUUUUAGCCGUUCUUGUAGGAGUUAGACAUAGUUUAGCUUUGCGAUAAUAAAGUAAGAUUCUUCCUUUGACGAUUUUUAUGUAUUUUUGAGAUAUAGUUUUUUUGUUUUUGUGUAAAACCAUUUUUAACAGUCAGUUAAGUCCAGGUUAAAUGAGCGAAACCGAUAGUUAAUUAAGAGUUUUUUGUUACAAGUGCAACAUAGUCUUAAGUUAGAUUUAAGUGCGUGCCUUUCGUAGACUAGGACCUGUUUUAUUUCACACUUUGAUUAUUGUUAAGCAAAUUUUUUUUUCAUUAUAUUUUCUAGCCUAGUUUUUAAUUUUAUUAAAUGGUUUCUUUUCUA